rnacentral:rRNA from 1 species
GACGUAGGGCGCGAGCGUUGUCCGGAUUUAUUGGGCGUAAAGAGCUCGUAGGCGGCUUGUCGCGUCGACUGUGAAAACCCGCGGCUCAACUGUGGGCUUGCAGUCGAUACGGGCAGGCUGGAGUUCGGUAGGGGAGACUGGAAUUCCUGGUGUAGCGGUGAAAUGCGCAGAUAUCAGGAGGAACACCGGUGGCGAAGGCGGAUCUCUGGGCCUGUCCUGACGCUGAGGCGCGAAAGCUAGGGGAGCGAACAGG